UACGUAGGGUCCGAGCGUUGUCCGGAUUUACUGGGCGUAAAGAGCGCGCAGGCGGUCGUUCAAGUCGCGUGUGAAAGCCCCCGGCUCAACUGGGGAGGGUCACGCGAUACUGAUCGACUCGAAGGCAGGAGAGGGAAGUGGAAUUCCCGGUGUAGUGGUGAAAUGCGUAGAUAUCGUAAGGAAGACCAGUGGCGAAGGCGGGUCUCUGGACAGUUCCUGACGCUGAGGCAAGAAGGUCAGGGGAGCAAACGGG
rnacentral:rRNA from 1 species